rnacentral:rRNA from 1 species
CAGCAGCCACGGGAAUACAGAGGGUGCGAGCGUUAAUCGGAUUUACUGGGCGUAAAGCGUGCGUAGGCGGCUUCUUAAGUCGGAUGUGAAAUCCCUGAGCUUAACUUAGGAAUUGCAUUCGAUACUGGGAAGCUAGAGUAUGGUAGAGGGUGGUGGAAUUUCCUGUGUAGCGGUGAAAUGCGUAGAUAUAGGAAGGAACAUCAGUGGCGAAGGCGACCACCUGGACUGAUACUGACACUGAGGUGCGAAAGCGUGGGGAGCAAACAGGAUUAGAGACCCCAGUAGUCCCUGUCUCUUAUAC